rnacentral:rRNA from 1 species
GGACUACAGGGGUUUCUAAUCCUGUUUGCUCCCCACGCUUUCGUACCUCAGCGUCAGUUCCGGGCCAGUGAGCCGCCUUCGCCACUGGUGUUCUUCCUAAUAUCUACGAAUUUCACCUCUACACUAGGAGUUCCACUCACCUCUCCCGGACUCAAGAUUGCCAGUAUGAAAGGCAGUUCCGAGGUUGAGCCUCGGGAUUUCACCCCUCACUUAACAAUCCGCCUACGUACGCUUUACGCCCAGUAAUUCCGAACAACGCUAGCCCCCUUCGUAUUACCGCGGCUGCUGGCAC